GCCGGGAUGGCGGAACUGGUAGACGCGCAGGUCUCAAACACCUGUAUGGCAACAUGUGCGGGUUCGAUCCCCGCUCCCGGCACCA
rnacentral:tRNA from 1 species